rnacentral:lncRNA from 10 species
UGAGGUUCCAUUGAGUGUAAAUUCAAUCCUGUGGAUCUGGAAAAGAUUAUGGGAUAUAAACAGAUGGAACCAAGGGACAGAAGCCUGGGAAAAGUGAUCAGGCCUGGAGAUGCACAAGCAAGAUUUUGGAGUUUACACCAAAGUGAGAAUUAAUGAUUAAAUUAUGAACUUGGAGAGAAAAAUGAGAUUCUGAAGUUUGGGAUGGAGGAAAAUGGUAGAAAAGGAUCAGAGAGAGAGCCUGGGAAGAUGACAGUUUUUUUGAAGGCAGAAGUGGCAUCUCUUCUGAAAGAAAAGAUAGGAAUGAAU